rnacentral:rRNA from 1 species
GACGAAGGGGGCUAGCGUUGUUCGGAAUUACUGGGCGUAAAGCGCGUGUAGGCGGUUGUUCAAGUCAGGUGUGAAAGCCUUGAGCUCAACUCAAGAAAUGCACUUGAUACUGGAUGACUAGAGGACCGGAGAGGAUAGUGGAAUUCCCGGUGUAGUGGUGAAAUACGUAGAGAUUGGGAAGAACACCAGUGGCGAAGGCGGCUAUCUGGACGGUUUCUGACGCUAAGACGCGAAAGCGUGGGGAGCAAACAGG